rfam:Microgenomates (Daviesbacteria) bacterium GW2011_GWA1_42_6 TV33_C0005, whole genome shotgun sequence.
GCCGGGAUGGUGAAAUGGUAUACACGCAUGGUUUAGGACCAUGUGCCGCAAGGCAUGGAGGUUCGAUUCCUCUUCCCGGCA